rnacentral:rRNA from 1 species
AAGACCUUGCGCUUUUGGAGCGGCCGAUGUCUGAUUAGCUUGUUGGUAAGGUAAAAGCUUACCAAGGCUUCGAUCAGUAGCUGGUCUGAGAGGACGACCAGCCACACUGGGACUGAGACACGGCCCAGACUCCUACGGGAGGCAGCAGUGGGGAAUUUUGGACAAUGGGGGCAACCCUGAUCCAGCCAUGCCGCGUGAGUGAAGAAGGCCUUCGGGUUGUAAAGCUCUUUCAGCCGGAACGAAACGGUUACGGUUAAUACCCGUGACUACUGACGGUACCGGAAGAAGAAGCACCGGCUAACUACGUGCCAGCAGCCGCGGUAAUACGUAGGGUGCGAGCGUUAAUCGGAAUUACUGGGCGUAAAGGGUGCGCAGGCGGUUUUGUAAGUCAGAUGUGAAAUCCCCGGGCUUAACCUGGGAACU